ensembl:lncRNA
GUCCGCCCCGCCCCGCCCCACCCAGCAGCCUGACCAGUACUGCGGGUGGCAGAUUUCGGAGUAUUAGAUCCUGGCUCAGCCCGAGAAGGCUGUGUUUCCCCCGGCCUUAUCUCAGCCGCCAGACCCACGGACUGCUCGCUCUCCCCACCCUUUCCCUCCCAGCAUUCGCGCCACAGUUGCCUGGCGAUACACAGCAGGGAAAUUGGUGUGUGAAGUAGUUUGGCAAAAGAGAUCGUAAAAAGCUGUGAAGAAAAUAAAUUUGCAUAACGAUCACUAAAGAUCAACUUUCCGAGGCCGAAAGUACUUCUUGCUGAAACACUAUUAGUGCUCUCCUUACUGUGUUUUUUAAAAAAAAAAAAAACCCUCUGGAAAUCUUGCGGACAAACAGUGGCUCCGAAGGCAAUCUGGGACUCCUUUGUCUUGGCAAUGGCUGCAUCUCGGUAGAAACUGACCUGGACGCUCACAUCGUUUCUAGGACUGCUGAUGUAAGGAGGAGAAUCAACAUUACGGGGAGGUCCUGCAGAGAUAUCAGUAAAAAAUACUCACCAACGUGCGGUGUCACACAGAAAAUUCUGUCCGUGUAUGCUGAGAUACCACUUGACCUGCACACCCGCAAGUCUUGUUUUACUUGGCCUCCGAAUGCUGAAUCAUUACACUGUUGACGAC